rnacentral:rRNA from 1 species
GACGAACGCUGGCGGCGUGCUUAACACAUGCAAGUCGAACGGAAAGGCCCUGCUUUUGUGGGGUGCUCGAGUGGCGAACGGGUGAGUAACACGUGAGUAACCUGCCCUUGACUUUGGGAUAACUUCAGGAAACUGGGGCUAAUACCGGAUAGGAGCUCCUGCUGCAUGGUGGGGGUUGGAAAGUUUCGGCGGUUGGGGAUGGACUCGCGGCUUAUCAGCUUGUUGGUGGGGUAGUGGCUUACCAAGGCUUUGACGGGUAGCCGGCCUGAGAGGGUGACCGGCAAAAUUGGGAAUGAGAGACGGCCAAGAGUACUACGGGGGGGAGAAGGGGGGAAUAUGGCACAAAGGGCGGAAGGCUGAUGCAGCAACGCCGGGUGGGGGAAGGCGGCCUUCGGGUUGUAAACAGGUUUCGCCGGUGAAGAAGGGGGAGGGAGGGGAAUGGGGAAAGAAGCACGGGAGAAAUAAGG